UGGCAAGAGAGGUAGGAAGAUAGAAGGCAUU
rnacentral:piRNA from 1 species